rnacentral:rRNA from 1 species
AUGACGCGACAAGUCAUGCAUCUGCAGCUCAACAGUACCAACGACCCGGUGCCGCGCCUCUUCGUCGAUGUCUCCCCUCCCGUGAUCUCCGCUCCUCCAAAGCACCGCUCCGCUGCACCUCCCAAAACCAGAUCCAUCUCUGCCCUAGUCAGGCAAAGCGCGCGUCAAGCUGCGCAACUGUCCAGCGUGCCGGUGGCGAAGAGGGCAUCCCUACUGGUGGUCAAGCGCCUCGACAUGCUGGGACCCAAGGAGAAGAUGAAUGCAAAGGUGUCUGAAGCUCUUAUUUGCCGUUUCGACGAGCCGCUAAUGGAAGAGGACAUCUCCAUCAUCGCCAAGCUCACAUGCCUCGACCCGGUAGCCCUCCGCAUUGCUGGUCGCAUGGCGGGGCCUGACGCGGACGCGGACGCUGCGGCUUAG